rnacentral:sRNA from 10 species
AGUUAGAAGAGACCUUUAAGACAGCUGGUCAUUAUGCCGACCGGGUGUCCGCGCUAAGUUCGGUAUCAAUAUGGUGACCUCCUGGGAGCAGGAGGCCAUCAGGUUGCCUAAGGAUGGGAGAACUGGCCCAGGUCAGAAAGGGAGCAGGUCAGGACUCCCGCACCAAUAGGUAGUGGGACUGUGCCUGGGCAGUAU